rnacentral:rRNA from 1 species
GAACGAACGCUGGCGGCGUGCCUAACACAUGCAAGUCGAACGAGACCUUCGGGUCUAGUGGCGCACGGGUGCGUAACGCGUGGGAACCUGCCUUUAGGUUCGGAAUAACUCAGAGAAAUUUGAGCUAAUACCGGAUGAUGUCUUCGGACCAAAGAUUUAUCGCCUUUAGAUGGGCCCGCGUUGGAUUAGCUAGUUGGUGGGGUAAAGGCCUACCAAGGCGACGAUCCAUAGCUGGUCUGAGAGGAUGAUCAGCCACACUGGGACUGAGACACGGCCCAGACUCCUACGGGAGGCAGCAGUGGGGAAUAUUGGACAAUGGGCGAAAGCCUGAUCCAGCAAUGCCGCGUGAGUGAUGAAGGCCUUAGGGUUGUAAAGCUCUUUUACCCGAGAUGAUAAUGACAGUAUCGGGAGAAUAAGCUCCGGCUAACUCCGUG